rnacentral:tRNA from 1 species
AGAGGUAUAGCUCAGUGGUAGAAUGCAUGCUCAGCAUGCACAAGGUCUUGGGUUCAAUCCCCAGUACUUCCA